GACGAACGCUGUCGGCGUGCUUAACACAUGCAAGUCGAACGGAAAGGCCCUGCUUUUGUGGGGUGCUCGAGUGGCGAACGGGUGAGUAACACGUGAGUAACCUGCCCUUGACUUUGGGAUAACUUCAGGAAACUGGGGCUAAUACCGGAUAGGAGCUCCUGCUGCAUGGUGGGGGUUGGAAAGUUUCGGCGGUUGGGGAUGGACUCGCGGCUUAUCAGCUUGUUGGUGGGGUAGUGGCUUACCAAGGCUUUGACGGGUAGCCGGCCUGAGAGGGUGACCGGCCACAUUGGGACUGAGAUACGGCCCAGACUCCUACGGGAGGCAGCAGUGGGGAAUAUUGCACAAUGGGCGGAAGCCUGAUGCAGCAACGCCGCGUGCGGGAUGACGGCCUUCGGGUUGUAAACCGCUUUCGCCUGUGACGAAGCGUGAGUGACGGUAAUGGGUAAAGAAGCACCGGCUAACUACGUGCCAGCAGCCGCGGUGAUACGUAGGGUGCGAGCGUUGUCCGGAUUUAUUGGGCGUAAAGGGCUCGUAGGUGGUUGAUCGCGUCGGAAGUGUAAUCUUGGGGCUUAACCCUGAGCGUGCUUUCGAUACGGGCUGACUUGAGGAAGGUAGGGGAGAAUGGAAUUCCUGGUGGAGCGGUGGAAUGCGCAGAUAUCAGGAGGAACACCAGUGGCGAAGGCGGUUCUCUGGGCCUUUCCUGACGCUGAGGAGCGAAAGCGUGGGGAGCGAACAGGCUAGAUACCCUGGUAGUCCACGCUGUAAACGGUGGGUACUAGGUGUGGGGUCCAUUCCACGGGUUCCGUGCCGUAGCUAACGCUUUAAGUACCCCGCCUGGGGAGUACGGCCGCAAGGCUAAAACUCAAAGGAAUUGACGGGGCCCCGCACAAGCGGCGGAGCAUGCGGAUUAAUUCGAUGCAACGCGUAGAACCUUACCUGGGUUUGACAUGGAUCGGGAGUGCUCAGAGAUGGGUGUGCCUCUUUUGGGGUCGGUUCACAGGUGGUGCAUGGCUGUCGUCAGCUCGUGUCGUGAGAUGUUGGGUUAAGUCCCGCAACGAGCGCAACCCUUGUUCACUGUUGCCAGCACGUUAUGGUGGGGACUCAGUGGAGACCGCCGGGGUCAACUCGGAGGAAGGUGGGGAUGACGUCAAGUCAUCAUGCCCCUUAUGUCCAGGGCUUCACGCAUGCUACAAUGGCUGGUACAGAGAGUGGCGAGCCUGUGAGGGUGAGCGAAUCUCGGAAAGCCGGUCUCAGUUCGGAUUGGGGUCUGCAACUCGACCUCAUGAAGUCGGAGUCGCUAGUAAUCGCAGAUCAGCAACGCUGCGGUGAAUACGUUCCCGGGGCU
rnacentral:rRNA from 1 species